rnacentral:tRNA from 1 species
GUUGGCCCAAUGGCAAGACGCCUGACUACGGAUCAGGAGAUUCCGGGUUCGAAUCCC